GUGGGGAAUAUUGGGCAAUGGGCGCAAGCCUGACCCAGCAACGCCGCGUGAAGGAAGAAGGCUUUCGGGUUGUAAACUUCUUUUACCAGGGACGAAACAAAUGACGGUACCUGGUGAAUAAGCCACGGCUAACUACGUGCCAGCAGCCGCGGUAAUACGGAGGUGGCGAGCGUUAUCCGGAUUUAUUGGGUGUAAAGGGCGUGUAGGCGGGACAGCAAGUCAGAUGUGAAAACCAGAGGCUCAACCUCUGGCCUGCAUUUGAAACUGGUGUUCUUGGGGGUCGGAGAGGUAAUCGGAAUUUCGUGUGUAGAGGUGAAAUGCGUAGAUAUACGGAGGAACACCAGUGGCGAAGGCGGAUUACUGGACGAUAACUGACGCUGAGGCGCGAAAGCGUGGGGAGCAAACAGGAUUAGAAACCCCGGUAGUCC
rnacentral:rRNA from 1 species